rnacentral:rRNA from 1 species
UACGUAGGUCCCGAACGUUGCGUGAAUUUACAGGGCGUAAAGGGUCCGUAGGCGGUUUAGCAAGAGGUUGGUGAAAUUUCACGGCUCAACCGUGAAACUGCCUUCCAAACUGCUAAACUUGAGGCAGGGAGAGGUAGGCGGAAUUCCCGGUGUAGCGGUGAAAUGGGUAGAUAUCGGGAGGAACACCAGUGGCGAAGGCGGCCGACUGGAACCGUCCUGACGCUGAGGGACGAAAGCUAGGGGAGCAAACCGG